GCCCGAGGUCAGGUAACUGGCCUGGGUCUCUGGCCGUCAGGUGCCCGGCCUAGGUGGCAGAUCAGCCUGCCCAGACUCAGAGACAGCUUUACAGGGCUUGGGCCACGCUCGGGCCGCCCGUUGAUUCUCCCCUGUAAAGAGGAGCCUCCAGGCUAAGGGCAAAGACAGCCUCCAGGACCCACCUAGGGCAGCCCGUGGGUCUAGAGCCGGAAAGACUCGAGUUCCAGUCUGGCCCCAGGCAGUGCCUGGCUGUGUGACCCUGGGCUGGUCACUUCACCAGCUGGCCUCAGUUUCCUCCUCUGUAAAAUGAGCGGGGGGUGGGGGUGGGGCACAGAGCUGCCUCGGUUUCCUCCUUUGUUGGGCGGGGGAGCCGUGACUCGUGGCUGUGCCUCUGUCCUAGGCCCAGGCGGGCUGGCUGCAGCACGACUUCGGGCACCUGUCUGUGUGCCGCACGUCCACGUGGAACCACCUGAUCCAUCACUUUGUGAUCGGCCACCUGAAGGGAGCCCCGGCCAGCUGGUGGAACCACCUGCACUUCCAGCAUCACGCCAAGCCCAACUGCUUCCGCAAGGACCCCGACAUCAACAUGCACCCCUUCUUCUUCGCCCUGGGGAAGGUUCUGUCUGUGGAGGUGAGAGGUGCCCCCGUUGCUCGUUUCCUUGUGGCUGGGACCCCCAGACCAGAGCCCCCGGGGCCAGCCCCCUUCUCCCCACACUUGUACCCGGCGCCAGGGAUUGUUUGCUGGGGACCUCCGAGGCGGGUGCUUGGUGGUGGCUGGGCCUGGAGUCGGGAGGACCCGGGUUCAAAUCUGGCCUCAGACAGCCGUGAGACCCUGGGCAAGUCACUGAACCCUGAAGCCUCAGUUUCCUCCUCUGGAAAAUGGGGAUAAUAGCAGCAGGGUCCCCAAAGCUAGUGUUGUAUGGAGAGGACAGACACCGUUUCUCCAAGUCUCUGAGCCCAGGGAAGGGAUGGCCAGCAUCAGAGAAGGGGGGUGCGGAGAGAGACCCAAAGCCCUGUGGGCUGGGGACGGGAAAUCAGAGAAGGCUUCCUGAAGGUGUCCAGGUAGGUGUUCAGUAAGUGGAGGGGGUGGGGGCAGCCUAACUGAGGCCUGGAGGCUGCAUCCUGGCAGCAUCCAUAAUGCCCAUCCCUUGACUCCGGGUCCCUCCAGACAUUUCUUGGCCCUGCAGAUGCUUCCUCCAGCGGGGUUCCCUUAAGGUACACACAGUGCCUCCCCACAAGUCACCCAAUCCAUCAUUCAUUCACCAACCAUUUAGUAAGCACUUGCCAGGUACUAGGAUUCGGGGGCGAGAUUUGACCCCCAGCUCCGAUUCCAGGUCCCCCCCCCCCCCAGCUCCUUCUCAGUGUGUCUCUGAAGGGCUCGGUGGGUGGUGAGGCUGGGAAGGCGCCCCUGGGCCCACAGAGCUGGGAUGGGGCUGGCAGCGAGGGGGAAGGACAAGCCCAGCCUCUGGCUCAGGCCGCCAGCCGUGACCUUGGCAUAAGAGGGGGGCAAUGGCGGGGACAAAGGUUCGGAGGG
rnacentral:lncRNA from 1 species